UUGUUUAAUACUCUUUAAAAUGUGUGGGGAUUGAGUUACUAAUAUUAUAAUGCAUAUUAAAAGGAUAAAUAAAUGGCAUCGCCAAUUUUUUGUUCAUUUAUUCAAUUUAUAAGGUUUUCCAUCGGUAAAAAAAAUGAAUAAAUCAUAUCAAUGUAGUUUACGUCUCUCUAGAAUAGAACUGAAAAAAUGAGAAAGAAAUAUGAUGAAUAAUCAUGUCUUUCAAAUUUAUUCGUUCGAUUAAGUUUAACUUAUCUUUAAAGUUUUUUUUCUCUAUCUCAAUUUCAAGUUUAAGAAUAAUUGACAGUUUUUUAAAAAGUUCCUUUGAAUUAGUAUAUAAAAAGAGAGUUACGUAAAAAUAAAAUGAGCAAUGGAGACAAAAAUAAUAAAAUACAAAAAUGAAAAUAAUGUGCCUUAGAAAUUCGAAAAAA
rnacentral:lncRNA from 1 species